UACGUAGGGGGCUAGCGUUGUCCGGAAUCAUUGGGCGUAAAGCGCGCGUAGGCGGCCCGGUAAGUCCGCUGUAAAAGUCCAGGGCUCAACCCUGGAACGCCGGUGGAUACUGUCGGGCUAGAGUACGGGAGAGGAAAGUGGAAUUCCUGGUGUAGCGGUGAAAUGCGUAGAUAUCAGGAGGAACACCGGUGGUGUAGACGGCUUUCUGGACCGACACUGACGCUGAGACACGAAAGCGUGGGUAGCAAACAGG
rnacentral:rRNA from 1 species